rnacentral:misc_RNA from 1 species
CUCUUCCUUUAGCUGACGGCCCAUUGCAGAAGAAGCGCGUGUGGUUAACGUGCUAUUCGGAACAUUUUGGAUUAUUAAUCAGUAUACGCCAGACAAAUUGCACGGAAAAUAGCGCCACAUCUUCCCACUACAAUGGCAUAUGGCGAACGCGAUCGUUCAGACAGACGAGGAGGUGGUGCGCGCGGCGGUGGAAGUCGAUUCGGUGGACGAGAUGGAGGCGGAGGGGGUGGCAGUAGAUUCGGCGGGAGCGGGCAUAAAGACAACAAUUUUGGAAGCAACAAUUUUAAGAACAGACAGCCCGGAGAGCGUCUGCGUAAGCCGCGAUGGGAUAUGAGCAGUCUGCCAACUUUUAGAAAAGAUUUCUAUCAGCUGCAUCCCAAUGUGACAUCACGGAGUAUUCACGCGGUGGAAGCGUAUCGUUCAAAUAAAGAGAUUACCGUGAAGGGAGCUAACGUUCCAGGUCCCAAUAUUUAUUUCGACGAAGGCGGUUUCCCAGACUAUGUCCUCAACGAGAUUCGUAGGCAGGGAUUCGGUGAGCCGACCGCCAUUCAAGCUCAGGGUUGGCCCAUCGCUUUGUCCGGUCGAGAUAUGGUCGGCAUAGCGCAGACGGGGUCGGGAAAGACGCUCGCCUACAUCUUGCCAGCGAUCGUGCACAUAAACCACCAGCCCAGAUUGAGCAGAAAUGACGGACCAAUCGCCCUAAUUUUAGCACCGACCCGAGAAUUAGCGCAACAAAUUCAGCAAGUGGCGUCGGACUUUGGUAUGUCGUCGCAAGUGCGAAACACAUGUAUCUUUGGUGGCGCCCCGAAGGGACCCCAGGCACGCGAUCUCGAGCGUGGCGUAGAGAUCUGCAUCGCCACACCGGGCCGUCUCAUAGAUUUCCUAGAACGCGGCACCACGAAUCUACGUAGAUGUACAUAUCUAGUGCUCGACGAAGCCGAUAGAAUGCUGGACAUGGGCUUCGAACCGCAAAUUAGGAAAAUUGUAGAACAAAUACGGCCCGACCGUCAGACUCUUAUGUGGUCGGCGACAUGGCCGAAGGAGGUGCGUAAUCUCGCGGAGGAGUUCCUAACUGAUUACAUACAAAUCAAUAUUGGUUCUCUGCAAUUGGCCGCCAAUCAUAAUAUUCUACAAAUUGUGGAUGUAUGCGAGGAAUACGAGAAAGAGAGUAAACUUAUGAAACUUCUGGAGGAGAUUUCAAACGAACCGGAAAAUAAGACCAUCAUAUUUGUGGAAACUAAGAGAAAAGUGGAUGAUAUAACAAGAGCUAUUAAUAGAUACGGAUGGCAAGCAAUUGGUAUCCAUGGAGACAAAAGCCAACAAGAAAGAGAUUAUGUACUAAAUCAGUUCCGGAAUAGCAGGUCUGCUAUCCUAGUGGCUACCGACGUGGCGGCGAGAGGUUUAGAGGCACAUGCGACGGAGUUUUAGAACUCUACAGAGUUUCUUUGGAAAAUAUAAUUGAACGGGGCGUGACUGCUGGUCGCCGCCCCCCCUCCACCUAACGCUGUGCCUCGGCCACUUUACCACUCGAAAACACUCCUCUGAACCUGCGACUUCCAAAGUAUGGAAGUUAUAAUGUUAGGGCGUUUAGCAUGCGAGGACGGAAAAAAAGGGAUAGAUCUUGCCGGGUUAAUAUUCGCUAGAUUGCAUCAAGUCACGCUCACUGCAUUAAUUGUGAUAUCUUGAAUAGUUGUUGUCAGUUGAUCGUCGUUGACCACGCAGACAUAUGAGACUUCAAUGUAAGCGUGGAUAAUUUUUUUUCAUUUUUUUAAAUAUCGUGCUACGAAUUUUAUAUAACAAAUGUUUAUGUAUUUGUUGAAUUUGUGUUGUCGAAGAUUCUUAUAACUUAGGUAAUUUAAUUAGUAAAUGCGGAAUAGCGAUUAUUAAUUAAGUAACUACGCAUUGAAGGAAGUCUUCACAAUAUUGCGGUGCGUAAUUCUUGAUGCUAAUUAUUCAAUGGGAGUACAUGUGGGGGGUUGAGUGGAGAACACGCUCAAGAUGUGCACUUGGUGUUCCAACCUCUUCACCGAAGCAAUGUACGAGGACCAAAUUUCGAAAUAGCCAGCACAGAUCCAUACUUUGGUGCGGGAGAGAAGGGUGUAUUGCCUAAGAAAAUAAAAACGUAGAGCUCGCUAAUACGUGAAGCGAGAAUUCCAUGAGAACCAUCUGAGGUCUGAUUCCUCUACAUUUCCAAAAAAUGUAUUUACAUUUCCAGCUCUAGUCGCAAACAGAUGUCGAAGAUGUCAAAUUUGUGAUAAACUUGGACUAUCCGUCCAACUCUGAGGACUAUGUGCACCGUAUUGGACGUACGGGUCGUUCGCAGCGUACAGGAACCGCGUACGCUUUUUUCACUCCUGGCAAUGCGCACAAGGCUAGUGACUUAAUCCAAGUUCUAGAAGAGGCUAAGCAAGUUGUCAAUCCGAAACUCUACGAAUUAU